rnacentral:lncRNA from 1 species
GGAUCUGGAUCAGUUUUACAAACUCUGAAUAAGUUUUGGAUCUGGUGGAAGAAAAUUUCAACACCGGACUUGAAAUCGCCCAAGGACUCUUACCAUGGAUGUACCUCCAACACAAGCACAAACAAUUACAGAAGGACCAUUCAACAAGAAGCAGCCUUGAAGGCAGAGUUAGCUGUGAUCAAGAGAAUGCCAUCGAGGUAAAAGAGGCCACCGGUCAGAGCUUAAAGAGGCAGUCCAUCAGUUUGCCCUGAAGAAGGACAAACCAAGUUCAAAGAGCCUCAGUAAGAAGGGUUUGUUGAGAUAUAAGCAGCAUAAGAUGUGGAUAAGAAAGAUGCAGAAUCUUGUACAUCACAACUGGACAACAUUCUAACGGCAUCUGAAGGUGAGACGAUGUCAUGAUUAUGUCGCAACCAUGGUAAAAAAAAGUAAUUCCAAGGACAAAAGUAGCUGGGAUAAAGAUAAUAAUUCCAAGAAUGAAAAUUGCAGGGAUAGGGACAGUAAUACCAAGGACAUAAGUAGCUGGGAUAAUGACAGUAAUAAUUCCAAGGACAAAAGUAGCUGGUGGGUGUUUCAUAAAGCUGUUCAUAAGAUACGAAUGACUGUACGCAUGACUGGUGAUCCUUUCUUGUGCUAUGUGAUAUCCCUAAGUAAUUGAGAUAUGACCCGAGAUCAUGUUUCAGUCGUGCGUAAAGUCGUUCGUAACUUUACGAACAGCUUUAUGAAACACCAACCUGGGCUAAAAACAGUCAUUCUAAGGACGAAAGUAGCUGGGAUAAAAAAAAUUCCAAGUACCAAAGUAGCUAUAGGACAAAGACAGUAAUUCCAAGGACAAAAAUAGCUGGGAUAAAGUCACCAACCCAUUGGCACCGAUGGCUCAAUUCUUCAACAGGAAGCACAGUGUGGUAUCAGAGAAACUGGCUGUAACUAGCCAGCUGCCCAGGCUUGAGAGACCAGGCAUUCAAGGUGAUUAACACACUGUGGACAAUGCAUUUGAUGGCAUGAUCGAUGCAAAGCUACACUAUUUUAGUAUCUAUGUUGUGGGCGAACCGAAGGAAGUCAUUGAACACUACCUACUGCUGGUACAAGCAAUGCAUAUCGGAAAGCAUGGGACCUAUUUGCACAGAGGUAUAGGAAUGGAAGCAUUAUGGCAUUCACUUAAUUGACAUAUUCUUGGCAUUUUUUUUUAUCACUUACUGUUAUAUUUUUACAAGGUUAAAACCAGCUUUGCGUCCAUUUUUUCCUACUAUAUUUCCCCCCUUCUGUUGGUCUUUUCAAUUUUUUGCCUUCAUCUGCCCCUCCUUUACCUUUCCUUUCUGUUUCUUUCCACCCACUCUUUUCCCGUCACUCUUUUUUCAUCAUUCGUCCUAUCUCAUCCUCUUUUUUUUCUUUCUCUUCCUUUUCUCAUUUCCCCUUUAUUUUUGUCCCAAUAUUACAUGAUUAUACUUGUAAUAUAUCAUUCAAUGCCCUAGUUGCGUUCUGUUCGAAUUACACUUUCACACUUCUUGACGUUUGUACAUGCUUCGUUGAUCAAUAUGUUACUUUUUAAAGUUUCUUUUUUUUUGGUAUAUCUUUUAUGAUUGUGUAAUAUGAUUAUCGGUUGGUUGUAAUUGUUUGCUGUUAUAUCAUCUUUAUAAUAUUGUACUUUGCCUUUGUUUAUACUGUGCACUGGAUUUUUCAGUCUUUGGACUGUUUUCCCAGUUUCUUAUUGAAUAAAUACCAUACUACUACUACUACUUCUAUGCCCAAGUCAUGGCUACAUAUUCUCAGACUUUCUGAAAUUAAAAAAAAAGAGUUUUAAAGUAGCUGUGACAAACAUGAAACCAGCAUAAUCAGUCAUCAUCAUAUCAGCCAUGUUCAGCCCACUGCAGGGCGAAGGCCUCCUCAAGUUGGUGCCAAAGGUGCUUGUCUUGUGCUGACGCAAUCCAAUUUAUACCAAUGAAUUUUGUGAGCUCGUCACUCCAUCUCAAUUUCUGUCUACCCCGAUUUCGUGAUCCUAGCCAUGGUCUCCAUUCUGUGAUGCGUUUGGUCCACCUAUUAUCAUGUGAUCUUGCAAGGUGGCCAGCCCAUCUCCAUUUCAUUGAUUUAAUUGCUUUGAUUAUGUCUAUUACUUUAGUCUGGUUCCUAAUCCAUUGUAUGGUUUUCCUGUCACGUUUUGAUAUCCCUAGCAUUAUACGUUCCAUACUGUGUUGAGUGGUUUUUAAUUUCUGUUCCAUUUUCUUUGUUACAGACCAGGUUUCGGAACCAUAGGUCAUUGCCGGUAUAACACAUUGAUUAAAGACUUUUCUUUUAAGGCAAAUUGGCAUAUUGCUCUUCAUAAUGUCAUUGAAAUUCCCAAAAGCGAUCCAUCCAGCUCUUGUCCUCCUUUUAACUUCUUCCAGUUGUUCAUGAUCCAUUCUGACAUGUUGCCCAAGGUAGAUAUAAUGAUCUACUCUCUCGAUUUCAGAAUUAUCCAUUAUGAUUCUUUGCUCCGUAACAAGUAUGUUAAACAUUACUUUUGUCUUUUUCAUGUUGAUGUUCAGCCCUACUUUGUUACUUUCAGUGUUGAGAUCGUUAAGCAUAUUUUUUAGCUUGAGGCCAUCAUCAGUGAUUAGAAUGAUAUCAUCGGCAAACCUUAGGUGAUGGAGAUCAUAAUCAGUAAUGCAUGCCAAAGCCCAUCAAUCGAAUGGUUGCGUCAGGUCAUGGUUGUAACAACAGAGAGCUGGAGAAGGUAUGGAACAGUUCUUGUGUGUCUAGGAUUGGGCUCUAUUACAAAGUAAUAUACCGAAUAUAUGUCACAUGUAGCUCAUGAGGACACAUUAACAGAACACAAUCUCUUUAGGGACAAAUCAGAGUGGAGGACCAUGGACAAACAGCUAUGUGCUCGGUACAAAAGGAAUCUGAUGUUUCUAAAAGGACAGUGGAAGGUUCUAGUCAAGUACAGGUCGGUAUCAACGACUUGGAAAAAUACUUCAAGCUACGAUCCUUGGUGACAGAAGGUACCCAUCUCAAGUAGUUUAUCUCCACAUCAAGCAAGGAAACAUGUCUUCUCCUUGAUUCCUCUUCUUUCUUCAGGGAAGCCUCAAGAUAGCGGAGUUUGCUAGAACAAGAGAAUCUGCCGUGUUAGAAGAAUCGCGUGCCUGCGGUUCAAUGCGAGUCUGGAUGAACUCCUAUAAAUGGGAGAAAAGCUGCAAUUUAAAAUGAAAGCCAACCGUCUCUUCUUCAACGAUGAGUAGAGGUAAUUGCUCGUUAAAUUAAGCAAAGAAAGAUGGCCAUUAGCAGACUUCCCGAUAGUUCCAAGCAGAGAACAAAGUAGAAGAAUAUGUAUUAUGCACACUGCAUCAUUGGUGUUUGUUCUUUUAUGUGCACAGGGACCAUGUUCAUUGUUAGCAGCCAUAGCAUCAGAAGCUUCAUAGCCCAGAACAACAAAUAGCAGUCCUGCCAACCUGAAAAAGAACAUUUCAGUAUUUUAAAGCUGAAAAUCAGUAUUUCAGUGAGGAAAUCAAUAUUUAAAAAAAAACAUAGGACAAGACAUAAAGCUGAAACUUUAGAAAUCAGUAUUUUACAUGAAACAAACAGUAUUUCUCUCACUUUUCAGUACUAAAUACUGAAAAUCAGUACUAAUUGGCAGCUUUGAAAUAGACUAGGUUCUUAUUUAUGAACACGGUCAACUCUCCAACAUGCCUACCGUUGACUGCCCAAUACCCGGCUGUGACUACUCCACACCAGACCUUGAUGCUGCCCUCUUAACUACCCACAGUACCAUUUACACCUCUGGACAAGCCGCAAAGGUUGAGAAGGUCAAGAGACCAACGAUUGCUGCUGCUGCUGCUGCUGGCACCAGCGAGGAAUGGGCAUACUUCAAGUCACGGUGGUCCGACUAUGUUGAUGCCACUUAAAGAUCACUGGGAAAGACAAGGUUGUACAGCUUCUUGAGUGUUGUGAUGAGCCCCUACGGAAGGACCACACAUGAGCUGCUGGUGGCAGCCUCACCAACAAAACUGAGGAUGAGGUGCUGUUUACAAAGUUGUGAAGAAAGAAUCAUUCAGAGAAGGAAAGGUUCUAAAAAGUACAGAUGCUAUCAGGGGAGGGGCACAGGCUACUGUGGUAGAUGCUAUAAAAAGGACUAAAUAAGAACCUUGUCUAUUUUUUGCUCUGGGCUAUAAAGCUUAAGGUACUAUGGCAGCUGACAAUGAACAUGGUCCCGGUGCAAAUAAAAGAACGUUUAUACCAAUGAUGCAGUGUGCAUAAUACUCCCCCCAAGUCUUUGGUGUGUAUUGUAGAGAAGACGGCAAUACCGGAACAAAGACUGAAGAAGUAAAUUUAACGAAGAUGGUGCAAUGUCGAAAUGUGUCCAUAAGCAGAUAAGCUCCAUGUAUAAAAUCAAGAACCAUGGGAAUAACAUAACUAAGGAACGUGAAAACAAUGUGCAAAGUCAACACCAGUGAGUAGUAGCCGUACCUCGCAAUACGUGUGAGUACCGUACUACAUGUAUGCAGAUUAUACUAGCAAUCAGCAUGCCAUCAGUUCAGUGACAAGGCCAAACCGAGAGAUUUCAUUUUCAGCGAACUUGCCUGUAAGCACGUUUAGCCGGAAAUCAUAUUAUGCAGCCAAGUGGAGGACCGUUUUUAUAAGUAAGAACCUUGUCUACUUGUUGCUCUGGGCUAUGAAGCUUCAGGUGCUAUGGCAGCUAACAAUGAACACGGUCCCUGUGCAAAUAAAAGAACAAACGUUUACAACACUGAUGCAGUGUGCAAUUUGCAAUUUACUCUGCCAUUGGAUAUGAAGAAAACAAAUAGUUGUCUGCAUUCAAUUACACAAAAAGCAGUCAAUAUGUUUACUGUACAUCUUCAAGUAAAUUACCCCUAGUCUUACGGGUUUGGUAUGUGUGGAAAGAUGUCAUAAGCAAAUAUUGGCUGUGGGCCGAGAAGCAGGCAUGCAAGAAUGAAAAUUUAAAAACUAGUUGUGAUGAACAUGAAACCAGUAUUAUCAGUAAUGCAUGCACUACAAAAAAUAUGUCAUGUGCAGCUCAUGAGAACAAACCAACUGAACACAUUAUUCUUAGGAACAAACCAAAGUUGAAGACCAUGGCCAAACAGCUAUGUGUUCGAUACAAAAGGAAUUCCAUGUUUCUGAAAGGACAGACGAUGUGAGAAGUUGCCGGUAUCAGCCACGGAUGUCAGAAUAAGGAGAUACUAUCUAUUCAGACUUGGAAGGAGGUUAAAGAAACCCUGGAAGGUUCUAGUCAAGUACAGGACGGUAUCAACAACUUGGAAAACUACCUUAAGAUACGAUCCUUUAGAAGAUACCCAAAUUGAGUAGUAUAAUCUCCACAUCAAGCAAGCAAACCUGUCUUCUUGAUUCCUCUUCUUUUUUUAGGGAAGCCUCCAAGAAGGCAGAGUUUGCUAGAACAAGAGAAUCUGACGUCUUAGAAGAAUCCCUGAGCCGGCCUUUUAAUGUGAGUCCGGAUGAACUUCAAAUGGGAGAAAAACUGCAAUUGAAAAUGAAAGCCAACCGCCUCUUCUUCAUCAAUGACUAGAGGUAAUCGCUCUUUAGAUUAAGUAGAGAAACAUGGCCAUUAGCAGACUAGCGGAUAGCUCAAAACAGAGAACAAAGUUGCGAAGAAAGCAUCAUGCAGAGAAGGAAAAGCUUCUAAAAAGUAUGGAUGCUAUGAGACGAGGGGCAGAGGCUACUGUGGUAGAUACAAUUUAACUCUGCCAUGGGAUAUGAAGAAAAAAAAUUGUUGUCUGCAUGCAGUUGCACAAUAAGCAGUCAAUAUGUUUACUGUUAAAAUGUAUGCCUACCCACAAUAUCUUCCAAUAAAUUACCUCUAAUCUUAGGGAUUUGAUAUAUGUGCAAAGAUGCCUCAUGCAAAUAUUGGCUGUGGGCCGAGAAGCAGGCAUGCAAGAAUGAAAGUUUUAAACUAGUUGUGACGAACAUGAAACCACUAUUACCAGUAAUAAAUGCAAUAAAAAUAUAAGUCAUGUGCAGCUCAUGAGGACAAAGCGACUGAACACUCAGGCUUAGGAACAAAUCAAAGUGGAAGACCAUGGCCAAACAGCUAUGUGUUCGAUACAAAAGGAAUUCCAUGUUUCUGAAAGGACAGACGAUGUGAGAAGUUGCUGGUAUCACCCACGGAUAUCAGAAUAUGGAGGUACUAUUCAGAUUUUGAAGGAGGUAAAAGAAACCAUGGAAGUUUCUAGUCCAGUACAGGACGGUAUCAAAAACUUGGAAAAAUACUUUAAGAUACGAUCUUUGGUGAUAGAAGUACAUGGCAUUUUGAGAACCAUAGUACCAACGAUCCGAAUACACACACAGAAUGGUUAUGCACUUGGAAGAUGCCUUCAUGAAAUAAAGCAGGAGGCCUCUGGUUACCCGUCAUGCUAAGACUGACGAAGAGCGACAAGCCUGUAUACAAAAAUUACACGGAGCAUGAAGGCAUUCAACUAGAUCCUUCCAGACAAAUCCUGGUCUUUGAGCCGCUUCUAAAAUUAUUAUCAAUAUACUGUGGGGUAAAUUUGCCGAACGGGAUAACCUAACCCAAAUAAAGUUCUUGACUUCUGCAAACGACUUAUUGGGCUAUCUUAAUGACAAAACCAUAAAUGUCAAGGACAUUUUGAUUCACAACAAAGACAUUCUUGAAAUGUAAUUCUCUAAGAGCAAAGGCUUUGUUGCUCAAAACGUGAAUGCCAAUAUCAUCAUCGCAUUGUUUUCUAACCUUAUUCUGUCCUUCAAUCGUUAGAUAACAGAGUAUUGUAUUGUGAUACCGACUCUGUGGUCUUCAAAACAGAUCAAUCCUAACACAUCAACAGGUAACUUUCUAGGUGACCAGACAGACGCGCUUGAUGAGAAUGGGGAGGAGUACAUUAAUUCAGACUUGAUUUUACUAGCCUCUACCCGUAUAUCAAUAAAUUUUCUAAAUACCCUAUCGGACAUCCGAAAAUCUUACGAUCAGAUUUCCCUCCAAUAGAAGAGAUAUUUGGCCUUGUCAAAUGUCAUAUCAUACCUCCCAGGAGUCUAGUUCACCCCGUCUUGCUAUUCAGAUCCGAAAAAAAUUGACGUUUCUCCUGUUUUGCACAUGCGCGGAGACCCUCAAUCGAGUCCCUUGUCACCAUACAGAUAGUGAAAGGGCUUUAGAAGGGGUCUGGGUGUCAGAGGAGAUAAAGAAGGCGUUAGAAAUGGGGUACACUGGUCUAAAAAUCAUUGAGGCAUGGCAUUUUGAGAAGCAUAGUAUGUACGAUCUGAUUACACGCAAAGGAGGGUUAUUCACAUCGUAUAUAGAUGCCUUCAUGAAAAUAAAACAAGAGGGGUACACUGGUCUAAACAUCAUUGAGGUAUGGCAUUUUGAGAACCAUAGUACAUAUGAUCCAAUUACAUGCACAGGAGGGCUAUUCGCAUCAUAAAUAGAUGCCUUCAUGAAAAUAAAACAAGAGUGGUACACUGGUCUAAACAUCAUUGAGGCAUGGCAUUUUGAGAAACAUAGCACAUACGAUCCGAUUACAUGCACAGGAGGGCUAUUCACAUCGUAUAUAGAUGCCUUCGUGAAAAUCAAACAAGAGGCCUCUGGUUACCCCUGUCAUGCCAAGACAGACAAAGAAUGGCAAUACUAUAUUGAAAACUAAUGGAACAUGAAGGCAUUCAACUUGAUCCUUCCAAAGUUGAAAAAAAUCUCGGACUUUGAGCAAUCGCUAAAUGAUUAUCAAUGUACUGUGGGGAAAAUUUGCCGACCGGGAUAACCUAACCCAAACGAAGUUCUGGACCACCGCAAACGACUUAUUGGUCUAUCUUAAUGAUAAAACCAUUGAUGUCAAGGACAUUCUGAUUCACACCGAGGACAUUCUUGAAAUGUACUUCUCUAAAAGCGAUGGUUUUAUUGAUCAGAACGUAUAAUUGCAUCGUUUACCACUGCCAUGAAACCAGUAUUAUAUGCAUGCACUACAAAAUAUAUGUCAUGUGCAGCUCAUGAAGACAAAGCGACUGAAAACUCAGCCUUAGGAGCAAAUCAAACUGGAAGAACAUAGCCAAAUGUGUGCGAUACAAGAGGAAUUUCAUGUUUCUGAAAAGGCAGAUGAUGUAAGAAGUUGCUGGUAUCAGCCUAAGUUUGUCAGAAAAUGGUGGUGGUACUACUCAGAUUUGGAAGGAGGUAAACAAAACCCUGAAAGUUUCUAGUCAAGUACAGGUCAGUUUCAACAACUUCGUUUUCCACCGCCUCGGCACGUUUGAAGCUGUACUCCGUCCUCCAAUUGUUAGAUGACAGAGUAUUGUACAGUGAUACGGACUCUGUUGUCUUUAAAACAGAUUAAUCUUUCUCGCACAUCAAUCCUCCAACUGGUAAUUAUCUAGGUGAUCUGACAGAUGAGAUCGACGAGACUGGGGAGGAGUACAUUCAGACGUUGGUAU